UGCAAGUCGAGGGGCAUCAUGGUUUGUGCUUGCACAAACUGAUGGCGACCGGCGCACGGGUGCGUAACACGUAUCCAAUCUACCCAUGGCUCGGGAAUAGCCUUUCGAAAGAAAGAUUAAUGCCCGAUGGUCUCAUUUUAAGACUAUCUUUUUAUGAGUAAAGAUUUAUCGGCGAUGGAUGAGGAUGCGUCCGAUUAGCUUGUUGGCGGGGUAACGGCCCACCAAGGCAUCGAUCGGUAGGGGUUCUGAGAGGAAGGUCCCCCACACUGGAACUGAGACACGGUCCAGACUCCUACGGGAGGCAGCAGUGAGGAAUAUUGGUCAAUGGGCGAAGGCCUGAACCAGCCAAGUAGCGUGAGGGACGACAGCCCUACGGGUUGUAAACCUCUUUUGUUUGGGAAUAAAGUGUCCUACGUGUAGGAUUUUGUAUGUACCUUACGAAUAAGCAUCGGCUAAUUCCGUGCC
rnacentral:rRNA from 1 species